rfam:Apaloderma vittatum contig59797, whole genome shotgun sequence.
GGGCCGGUCAGCUCAGUCGGUUGGAGAGUGGUGCUGAUAAAACCAAGGUCACGGGUUCCAUCCCAGUUCGGUCCC